rnacentral:rRNA from 1 species
AGGGUUUGUCAUGGCUCAGAUUGAACGCUGGCGGCAUGCCUUACACAUGCAAGUCGAACGGCAGCACGGGAGCAAUCCUGGUGGCGAGUGGCGAACGGGUGAGUAAUAUAUCGGAACGUGCCCAGUCGUGGGGGAUAACGUAGCGAAAGCUACGCUAAUACCGCAUACGAUCUAUGGAUGAAAGCGGGGGAUCGCAAGACCUCGCGCGAUUGGAGCGGCCGAUAUCAGAUUAGGUAGUUGGUGAGGUAAAGGCUCACCAAGCCGACGAUCUGCAGCUGGUCUGAGAGGACGACCAGCCACACUGGGACUGAGACACGGCCCAGACUCCUACGGGAGGCAGCAGUGGGGAAUUUUGGACAAUGGGCGAAAGCCUGAUCCAGCAAUGCCGCGUGCAGGAUGAAGGCCUUCGGGUUGUAAACUGCUUUUGUACGGAGCGAAAAGGCUCCCUCUAAUACAGGGGGCUCAUGACGGUACCGUAAGAAUAAGCACCGGCUAACUACGUGCCAGCAGCCGCGGUAAUACGUAGGGUGCGAGCGUUAAUCGGAAUUACUGGGCGUAAAGCGUGCGCAGGCGGUUAUGUAAGACAGAUGUGAAAUCCCCGGGCUCAACCUGGGAACUGCAUUUGUGACUGCAUAGCUAGAGUACGGCAGA